rnacentral:lncRNA from 1 species
CCCCCCGUGGCCCCAUCCAUUGUUGGAGCCGCGGAGCUGUGCAAGCGCGGAGGGCGCGCAGCGGUACCGAACGGCCCCGCCGAGCUGCGGGCCCACGCGGGCGGCCGAACCCCGCGCACUCCUACAGGUGGUGGUGUCGGGGGGAGCGCCCCGCGCCCCCCGCACCGCCCCACCCCCCAACCCGCGCUGCGCUCAGCGCUGCGGGACCCCGCGCGGCACCUCCGGCCCGAGCGCAGCGAUCGCGGUGCAACCCCGGCACGGGAGGGGAAGGGAGGAGAGAGGGGGGAGGAAAGAGAAAGGCGAAAGAAAAGAAAGAAAGGCGGAAAAAAGGAAAAAAAAAAAAAGGAAAAAAAAAAAAAAGGACAAAAAUAAUUAAAACGAUAAAAAGCAACGCGUGAGGAGGCGAGGGGCGCCGGCGGAGCCGCGGUGGGGUUUGGGGAGGGAGAGGAAAAAGGAGCGGAAAAAGGGGAGAGAAUGGAAAGAUAAACACGGUACCUCGGAGCGGAGCCCUGGAAUAAAAAGGGUUUUACGAAAGUGGCGCGAAGACAAUAUCAUGUGAUCCCAGCCAGGGCGGCUCCCUCCGCACCGACCAGCCAAAAAAAGGGAGAGGAAUAAAGGGGGAAAAAAGUACAUCCGCUCUCCGCGCCAUUAGCAUAAUUAAUUGUGUCCUGCAGCUGCGGCCGCCGCUCCCCGGCCCGGCCUCCUCUUCCUCCCGGUGCGGGCCGAGCCGGGCGGGCUGCGGGGCUGCGGGGCGCUGCCGGCCCGGCCCCACGCGGGGCUGCGCGUCCCGGCCGGGCUGAGCCGAACCCGCGGCCUCGGGGUCCACGCGCGGCUCCGCGCCGUGGGGCCGCACGCCCGGGGCCCCCGCGCACGUGGGGCCGCUCCCAUCUCGCGGUCCGAGCGGCAGCCCCGGCUCACAGCCCCGCGCCGCUUCCCCGCGUCCGCUCGCGGCUCGGGCGCUGCCGAGCGAGAGCGCGGCCCCGCCGGGCGGCCCGCGGCUGUAUGGGGGUGAAAACCCCACGAGGGAGAGGCCCCGGCCUGGCUUGGCCUACGUGCAGCCCGCCCCACGCCGGCACCCCGGCCCGCCCGCCCCACGGCUCACCGCGAGGGCCUGCGUGGGGUCGGGGCCCCGCGUGCGGUUAGGUGCGGCUGGCGGCCGGCCCCGCACGGGGCUUUGUGGCCCAGGACCCCGGCCCUGAGAGCGGCCCGCCGCCCGGGGCGAGGGGUCGGUGCGCCUCGGCGGGCGGCCUUCGCAGGAAUGCCAAAAAUGCGCUAAUUGUGCCCUGCCGCGCCUCCGGGAUUAGGGGUAGCCGUCUUUUAGGAAACGGGAGCGUGGCUCGACCGAUAGCGAAGGGCUGCGCCCCGCGUCCCCCCGGCCCUUGGGUUCGGUGCGGCGAUCCGGCGGUUCCUGGCAUCGCCCUGCGCGCCGGGAUCUGAAGUUGGAACAAAAAGGUCCCCAUGGAAACAGGGAGUCAUCUAUCAGUACCGCGUUCGCCCGGUCCUGCCAUGUUUGUGGGGAGAGUUGGGCCGCGCCGCCCGGCCUCUCCCCAUGCGCGUGUGUGUGAGGCCUAAAACAAAGCGGCCGUGUCAAAGUGCCCCUGGUGAGAUGGAAGGGCUCCCGGCGGGCGGGAGGGCUCCCGCAUCCCGACGUUAUUUCUUCCAGGAGCAGUGGAAGCGUUUGGAUCCCUCCUUGCAAACUUUUGUGUCGCGGUAUCUCCGCUGUCAGCCUCCCGGGUUGGAGCUGCGGGGAUAUCCAGCAUUUGGAUUUUCCCCUCUUUGCCGAAGUACCUUUGUGAAGUCCUGAGCUGAGAGCGGCGGAACGGAGCAAAGCGCUCAAAAUCAGCGUUGAUAGCUUAGCGUGGGGUGUGUGGAUGCAUUGUCAGUGCCUGCGCAGAAACAGAACGGUGCUUUAAUGCAGGAAUGGAAACUAAAACGUCCCAGAAGCUCACGUGUGCACAACAACGUGGGAAGGGCUCCCCGCUAAAGGAUGUGUCACGUCUAACUGUAAAAAAAAACCUGACAGAACGAAGCACUAAGCGUGUCGUAGCACUAAGUUACCUCCUUGCAUUGGGAAGGGAUCGUUCCCUUUGGUAGUUUUCAAUAUGUAAUGUUCUCGGUCUUUUAAAGGGCUUUGUCUGGCUGCAGCAUCCGUCUGCCGUGUGAGCUGAGCAGAAAGCGACCACUUUGCUGAUGGUCUUUUUGAAUGCACGUGGUUUAUAGCUCCUAAGGUGGUGCUUGUAAAGCACCCUGCUUGCUGGGGUGGGGGUUGCUCCAGGUUAGGGGACUCACUGAGGUGCAUUUCCCAUAUAGGGGCUGUGAGGUUUUCCAAGCGCCCUCCGAAUGUACUGUGAAGUGACACGGCUCACUCUUCCCUUCUGCAGACAUUUGGAUUCUUCUCCUAUAACUGAAUCACGUGCAUGCAUACACGCCAAGAAGGUGUUUGCUUCCUUCGCUGCACUUCUCGGCACUGCAGAUAAAUCUGUUGCAUCUCAUUUGGUUUCUGAUUCAUUCAUCCCCCAGCAGCCGUGGCCAGGGAUCUCCUCUACUUCUGUUUCCUUCCAGAGUCAGAACCUUUGUUCUGAUGUCCAACCUUUUUCAUGCAGAGUAAAGCUCGGUGAGUUGUGCGGAGCUCUCUGGAGGCAGCAAGGGGAAGAAAUGACAACCAGAAGGAAACCGGAGGUGGAUGCAAGGGAUGCAUCGUUGUGGAACAGAAAAUUGGUUCUCCAAACAAACUGCUCCAAGUGAGUGGAUGGAUGGGGAGAUGUCUGACAUUAACAACAUGUAACUGCUUUCUGAAAACCCUGGGAUACCUGAAAGCCUUAAGAAGGAGUGCUGCUGCAGUUGCAAAGCGAUAGAAUGAAGUCAAUACCCAAAAUGAUGCUGCAGCCACAUCUGGAGUUUGCUUCAGGUGGAGUGCUUUAUCUCUCUGAAAGGGAACGUCGCACAUCUCGGGGUCGUCUUAAAGAGAAACAGAAGAUGCAGAGGAGUACAUCCGAGAAAAGCACUUUAUUCCCUCAGCACAGAUUGACUCCCCAGGUCCCACCUGGAGCAGAACUUUCCCUGCAGUUCCCCCAGCACAGCUCUGGUACAUCCGUGCAGGAUUGGACUUACUGAGGGGUUUGCCUUCAUUUCUCCUUCUGCCCACUUUGGGGUGCCCGCAUUACCUGCAGCCACACGUCCUGCAUUGCUGCCUUGCCUCUGUUGUACCGCAUUCUGCUGAAAAAUACAUAGAAUGAAAAUGAUUUCCCACUUGUAAGGGCAGAAUAAAUAGAAAUACUUGCAGAUAAUGAUGCAGUUUUUUCCUCAGUGUCACCGAAAAACUUAACUCGGUUUUGUUUUCUCAAUCAUCCCUCUGUGUUUGCACUUCUCUGUUAAACAGCAACUGAGAACAAACCGAGAAUAAAAGUGGAGAGCGUUUUUAUUACAAAGGAUUUCACCUUUCUGUCAUUUUUGUACUAAAACAGAUCUGAAACUGCCAUCCACCUCUUCAGUUCAAUUUUUGUUUCACUGCAUUGGAGAAACUUUUAUAUAGAAAAACAAGAGAUGGAUAACCUUUAUUUCUCUGCAUUUUCUGUGUGUCCUCUCCUAAAUGAGACCAAUCUACGCAUGGAAUGGGGAAUUACUUGUGGUCAGAAAUAAACAGCAAUGGCAUGAAGUUUGAGGCUAUUUUCCCUUCUUUUACAGCAUUGAUUGCUGUAACGCAUAACGUAACGUUUGCUGUAUACCUGAUAUGCUGUGAGGGGUCACCACAAACUGAUGUCUUUUUAAGAGCUCUUUGACAAUUUAUUAUGGACACGUUUAUUAGAACAAAAUGCAAAGGUAAAGAGCAAAAGCUGCUCUGUCUCCUGUUUACUUCUGUAGUUCAGUGGAUGUGUAAAAGCGCUGAAUUCUGCACUCAGCCUUCAGCAGGCUGCAAUUCAACUUCUGUGCAGCAACUCCAUGCAAUUGCUAUACGCUUCGAUUCUGAGACUUCCUUCCACUUUCAGUGACAUUGGGGCACUGAAAAAGUUAAAGGAACUCAUCCUUUCACAGCUCUGAGUUCUUGGUGUAUUUCUGCCGGGUGGGUAAAGUCCUGAAAUCCGGAGAUAAGUGCUCCAACUGACCCUGAAAUCUGGAUAGAAGUCGUCUCCCUGACAAUGCAGCUACUUGCAUGAGCAAACGACCCAAGUUGUGUGCACAGGGUAGGGCCCCAUGCAAUAUAGAAAUGCUAUGUUGAAAAUGCUUCCCACAUUAGCUACCUCAGUAAUAGCUUUUGAAUCUUUUUUCACGCCAAUACCUAUU